rnacentral:rRNA from 1 species
UUGUAUGCUCAUCUCCAUGAAUAAGCCAUGCAAGUGCAAGUGUGGGAGCCCGGGUGAACGAGAAAUGCAUAUACCACAGACGGCUCAGUAGAAUGGAUGCAAGGUGUCAUGCACGCUGCAGCAGAGAUGGAUAACUCUGGAAACUCUAGAGCUAAUACAUGGUGGUGUGAGCCACUGCCUGGCCCAUCCUUGGAUGUUGGUGGAGGUGAGGUGCUUGUCCUAUCAAGGAAGGAGAGAGGUGGAUUUCCGAAGCAAGAAACGGAUUGCCCCCAGAUGGUGGGGUAACAUGCAUGGACGGUGUCUGACCUAUUACUACUGUUCAGUGGGGCCUGGGCCCAGGGCAGUGGUAAUGGGUGAUGAGGAAUCAGGGUUCGAUUCCGGAGAGGGAGCCU